UUGACCUCAAAUCAGGUAGGGACUACCCGCUGAACUUUAA
rnacentral:rRNA from 1 species